AAGGACUGGCUAUUUGCUAUCUGGACGUAAAGAGAGGAGGAGGGAAGAUAUCUCCUGCAUGGUCAGGCAGUGCCAACUCCAGCUGUACGGGCAUGUGGCACGCUGCCCACCCUGCUCACCGGGCUGUUUCAGAGUGGAGGAGGCUGAGGGAAUGCCCACGAAGCUCACAGAUUCCGCGUCUCCAUGGACCCUGCCGCAAGAGACAACCCGAUGAGCAGGAUCAGCUUCAGGGUAACGUGCCACGUGCCCAUAUAGCCGGAGUUGGCAUUGACGGACUAUAGCUAUGCAGGUAAGGUAAUAUAUGUCAAAUCAGUCUCGCGGAGUAGUUGCCGGUUUGACACAAAGUCAUUCCAGCGAUAUCCCGUGAUUCUGCGUAGACACUUAUUACCAAAGGCAUCAAGCUGCCUCUCCAAGUCCCCAUUUAUUGUCCAUGUCUCACAACCAUAGAGUAAGACAGGGAGCACAAGGGACUUGAAGGUCCGGAUCUUUGUCCUUCU